UUGGAGGGCAAGUCUGGUGCCAGCAGCCGCGGUAAUUCCAGCUCCAAUAGCGUAUAUUAAAGUUGUUGCAGUUAAAAAGCUCGUAGUUGAAUUUCGGGGUUCUACCGUUGGUCGGGCUUUGUCUGUACUGGUGUGUAGAAUUUCUACCUUCUGGGGAACCAUCAUGCUAUUAAUUUAGCGUGGUGGGAAACCAGGACCUUUACCUUGAAAAAAUUAGUGUGUUCAAAGCAGGCUUAUGUCUGAAUACAUUAGCGUGGAAUAAUAGAAUAGGACGGUGGUCCUGUUUUGUUGGUUUCUGAAUCACCGUAAUGAUUAAUAGGGAUAGUUGGGGGCAUUAGUAUUCAAUUGUCAGAGGUGAAAUUCUUGGAUUUAUUGAAGACUAACUUCUGCGAAAGCAUUUGCCAAGGAUGUUUUCAUUAAUCAAGAACGAAAGUUAGGGGAUCGAAGACGAUCAGAUACCGUCGUAGUCUUAACCAUAAACUAUGCCGACUAGGGAUCGGACGAUGUUAAUUUUUCUUGACUCGUUCGGCGCCUUACGGGAAA
rnacentral:rRNA from 1 species